rnacentral:rRNA from 1 species
GACGAACGCUGGCGGCGUGCUUAACACAUGCAAGUCGAACGGUAAGGCCCUUCGGGGUACACGAGUGGCGAACGGGUGAGUAACACGUGGGUGAUCUGCCCUGCACUUCGGGAUAAGCCCGGGAAACUGGGUCUAAUACCGGAUAGGACCACUGCCUGCAGGGGUGGUGGCGGAAAGCUUUUGCGGUGUGGGGUGGGCCCGCGGCCUAUCAGCUUGUUGGUGGGUUGAUGGCCUACCAAGGCGACGACGGGUAGCCGGCCUGAGAGGGUGACCGGCCACACUGGGACUGAGAUACGGCCCAGACUCCUACGGGAGGCAGCAGUGGGGAAUAUUGCACAAUGGGCGCAAGCCUGAUGCAGCGACGCCGCGUGAGGGAUGACGGCCUUCGGGUUGUAAACCUCUUUCAGCACCGACGAAGCGCAAGUGACGGUAGGUGCAGAAGAAGGACCGGCCAACUACGUGCCAGCCGCCGCCGUAA